rnacentral:sRNA from 1 species
AGGCACUGACACCAGCAGGGAUAGGCCUGGGGAGGGACACCCAGUGCCACAGCUCCACCCGCGCCCCACAGGUGGCAGCCGGGGGUGUCUGAGGAAACUCCCCACCCCGCACCACUGGAGAAUGUUCCCAGGACCUCGUCUGCUGCCUGAAAAGCCCACUCUCGUUCUGGUGCUUAUUUUCCCUUCCUUUUUAGGCCAUGAUUUCUGGAGAGCUUGACAUUCUCAAAGACUGGUGCUAUGAAGCUACUUACAGCCAGCUGGCCCACCCCAUCCAGCAGGCCAAGGCGCUGGGUCUCCAAUUCCAUUCUCGCAUCCUAGACAUUGACAACAUCGACGUAAGCACCUCGCAGUGGGGGCCCGGGCCACCAUCGGGGGUGGGAACUAUGGCCAGACAGGGCCCAGGAGGUGGCCUUGCCAGGGGCUGGGGGCCAUGUGCUGAUCCAAGAGGUCUUGGGCUUGUCCAAGGGGAGGGUCUCGAGGGAGGCCUGGUCCUGGUCUGAGAGGCAAGGCCCACAGGGAGGGACCGGUGCUGGGCCUGGUGCUGGAGCCUUCUCCCAGCAGGGCCUAGGCGCAGGGGUUUCACCUCC